GGAAGCGUUCCCGGAAGGUAAGGAUCUCCUCAUAGGGAGCACCACAGGGGUUCAAACCCCCUCGAUCCU
rnacentral:tRNA from 1 species